CACAUGAAAAGCCCUUUGCCUUCCAGGGUUUCCAUCUGCUGAAUUACAACUCAGCAGCAGGAGCCCUGAAGGAGAUGUCUGCAGGUUCCUGCUGAUCAGCCCUGAGACACUGCAGUCUGCAACACUUUGUAAGGUGCUGAACUCAAACAUAUAUGUGGGCUCUAUAGCAGCAGGACCGUCAGAGAGAGAGUCAAUGAAGACAGCAACCACCAGAGCAGACUGCAGAAAAUGAAGUGAUCUACGUGACUUGGGGCUCAAAAUGUCCAGAACAUCUCUCAGCGGGCCUCUCCUCUUGAUAGAUGGUAAUGUCAGGCUGAUAAAUUAGCUGUGCAGCAAGUAUUUUUCACUCCUUCCUCUUCAGAAGUAGAGACUGGAAUGGAAGACAACUAUCACAAGCACAAAAAUCCAGAGGUAAAGCAGCAGCAGGCUCAAAGAGGGACUUCAGUGGUGGUGAGAGCACAGCUGUUGCUAGACUUGUUUUGCUGAGGAACUACUUGAAUAACACACAGUAGCACAGCUCCUUUCUGCUUUAUUUUGCUUGUGAAAACUGUAGCUACAAUUGCCUUUUUAUUUUUUUUUUUUUAACCUGAGCAGUGUUGUUCCAGCAGAUAAGAGCGUUCAAAUGUCUUGCUGUGGAGGUUUUUUUUUUUAUAAAUCCCGUUUCCUCUUCUUUCUGAACAAACUUUAGUGGGUUUGCUUUGGCCUCUGGUGGAUGCUAGUCCAUGUCAAAAAACUCUGCCCAUAAAUCAUCACAAGCAGUACCUUCUCCCAGCCUCCCUCUCAGGUGCACUGCACAAUAUGUUCUGUACAAAGAAUAGCAGGUGAUGUUCUGGAUUCUAGAUAGUGAUAAAUUACAUACUUAUUUUCCCAAAAUUUGUAAGCAACUUAAUGUCAGAUCACACUUAAAUGUAAAUAUCAACAAUCUUAAGGAACAGCCUUAUCAAUUCCGGCUAAAUACAAAUUCAAAUCCUUGUGGCUCUUUCAGCUUCUAACUGUUCAUUCAGUUGGUAUCUUUGGACAUAGAAUUUAAGAAACAGCAUUAGAAAAUAUGUUUUACUGAAAUGUCAUAUAAUAGCUGUUCUUUAAUUGCUUUGGAGAGAGGGACUGCAGUGUUUGUAUCAUCAUUAGGUAAUUUUAAUGCACACAUUGAAUUCUCGACUUUGGAGUCAUGCAUAUAUAGUAAAUAAUAAACAGUGGGUUUAUUUUUCGUUGGUCA